GUUUUGUUUCCCUGGCCACUGUCUCCAAAUGUCAACUUUGUAGCAUUUUAAUCAUUUGGGGGAACUAUUCCUUUUAACCAUCAAAUUGCCCUAGUUGGUAUGCUACCCAUCCCCCCAAGCAAGUGUCCCAGGCCCCAGAGUCUCUUACGUCUCUUCACCCCACACAGAGAACAUCUGUGUCUCACAGCGUUGCGUAAUCCCACUCUCCACCACCGUCCACCCACAGGGUGUGCCAUUAGGCUUUGCUGACGUAGGCUGAGCAUUGGGUAGAGCUAAAGAAUAGAGAGGGGACGUCUGGUACUAAUGAAGUGAUUACUGGAGAGAGGAGGAGAACAGGAGAAAUAAAAGUAAGAAAUAAGGAGGAGGAGAAAAGGAACGGCUGUACAGGAUGUUCCCACGUUUCAAUAAACAGACGGAGGGGAAAAAAGAAAGAAGAAAUAUAGAAUGAGACAGCAAGAGAAAUUGGAGGUAGAGAGGAGGGGAGGGGAAGUUAGAGAAAACAACAAUGAGCAAGAGAGAGAAAGAGAGGAUGUGAGAACAAAUGUGAGUGGCAAAAAGAGUUAGAAAAGAGAAGAACGGAAUAUGGUGUUGAGUAAUGGCAUGUUGACCGGAACACAUGCAUGCGAGAACAUAAGCCCCAAGGAGCAGGGGAUGGUUCAGCUGGCUGAGGAUGCAGAGUGGAGUGCAGGCAUUUAAGUGAGGGGUUCUGUGGAUUACGGGUAAAAAAGGACAUUAAGAGGCAUACUGAUGGGCCAGAGAAGAUGUCAUUCAAAGCACUCAGCAACUACCUGAGGGUCAGGGGCAGGUCAACAGAAAGAGCUGAAAGACGAAGAGGCAGAAGAACAACGCCACAAUGUUUAGUACAUUGUGUGAAAAUGAGUGUAAGGACAUGGCUAAGGAGUUCAUUGGGGUGAUUGGCAAGUCUGCUUCAGUAGACACAAUAAUUGGUUACAUGGCCCCAGAGGAGAAAGUCUCAGUCAGGUAUAACUGUCUAUAUCAGAAGUAAAUACAAUAAAAAGUAUGUGUCUCUGUGUGGAUAGGAUUGGAUAGGAGCCUCAUCAGAGUUAUUUUUAAAAUUAUUUUACCCAAUUUUUCUCCCAAAUUUUGUGAUAUAUAUAUUCAUCACAGCAACUCCCCAACGGGAAAAGGUCCAGUCAUAUGCCCUCUGAAACAUGACCCGCCAAACCGUGCUCCUUAGCACCUGCCCACUUAACCCAGAAGCCAGCUAAACCAAUGUGCCAGAGGAAACACCGUUCAACUGAUGACUGAAGUCAGCCUGCCAGCGUCUGGAGUCGCUAGCCGCCCUAUGGGACCCCCGGUCACAGCCGGUUUUGACACAGCCUGGGAUCAAGCUCAGGUCUGUAGAGACGCCUCAAGCACUGCGAUGCAGUGCCUUAGACCGCUGCGCCACUCAGGAGGCCCCUCAUCAGAGUUUCUAUGAAUGUAACCAGGUUCCUUGUCUGUUCUGCCUUUGUCAUUUUUUCAGUUUUAUCUUGCUGCCUACCCACUGGGCACAGACAUCAGUUCAAUGUCUAGUUUUGAUUUCCAUUUGGUUGAGUUGUGAAUUGAGUUGUGAAUUCAACGUGAAACCAACAAAAAUACGAAAUGUGCUUUGUCUUAGCCUAUUUUGGCCCUUGGCAAUUGUUUGCCCUUACAAAUGUUGGGCCAUGAUGUACCCUGCAUGCAUACAGGGUAGGUCAAGUUGCAAGCCCUUUAGCACUGUAUUUUGUAAUAUACAUUUAAUUUCAUUGUCUACACUGAAAUGGACUACUUAAAACGAUCCACACAAUUGGUUGGUUCCAAGGAGGAAGAGAUGCAGGAGUGGUCAAUGAUGAGACACACCUUCAGACUAGAGCUCCUGCAUAGGCUGUUCUCUGUUCUCAGUGCAUUUGGAAAGUAUUCAGACCCCUUGACUUUUUUCACAGUUUGUUAUCUUACAGCCUUAUUCUAAAAUGGAUUACAUUUUUUUCCAUUCUACACACAAUGCCCCAUGAUGACAAAUAAAAAAGUGUUUAGAAACCCUUGCAAAUGUAUUAAAAGGAAAAAAACAAAAUAUCACAUUUACAUACUGUAAGUAUUUAGACCCUUUACUCAGU